UACGUAGGGGGCAAGCGUUGUCCGGAUUUAUUGGGCGUAAAGAGCGUGUAGGCGGCCAGGUAGGUCCGUUGUGAAAACUCGAGGCUCAACCUCGAGACGCCGAUGGAAACCAUCUGGCUAGAGUCCGGAAGAGGAGAGUGGAAUUCCCGGUGUAGUGGUGAAAUGCGUAGAUAUCGGGAGGAACACCAGUGGCGAAGGCGACUUCCUGGCCUGUUCUUGACGCUGAGGCGCGAAAGCUAGGGGAGCAAACGGG
rnacentral:rRNA from 1 species